CUUGUAAGGUGGAUUAGUGGCGAACGGGUGAGUAACACGUGGGUGAUCUGCCCCAAACUUUGGGAUAAGCCUGGGAAACUGGGUCUAAUACCGAAUAUGACCGAUACUCGCAUGGGUGUUGGUGGAAAGCUCCGGCGGUUUGGGAUGGGCCCGCGGCCUAUCAGCUUGUUGGUGGGGUAAUGGCCUACCAAGGCGACGACGGGUAGCCGGCCUGAGAGGGCGACCGGCCACACUGGGACUGAGACACGGCCCAAACUCCUACGGGAGGCAGCAGUGGGGAAUAUUGCACAAUGGGCGCAAGCCUGAUGCAGCGACGCCGCGUGAGGGAUGACGGCCUUCGGGUUGUAAACCUCUUUCACCAGGAACGAAGCGAAAGUGACGGUACCUGGAGAAGAAGCACCGGCCAACUACGUGCCAGCAGCCGCGGUAAUACGUAGGGUGCGAGCGUUGUCCGGAAUUACUGGGCGUAAAGAGCUCGUAGGCGGUUUGUCGCGUCGUUCGUGAAAACUUGGGGCUUAACUCCAAGCGUGCGGGCGAUACGGGCAGACUUGAGUACUACAGGGGAGACUGGAAUUCCUGGUGUAGCGGUGAAAUGCGCAGAUAUCAGGAGGAACACCGGUGGCGAAGGCGGGUCUCUGGGUAGUAACUGACGCUGAGGAGCGAAAGCGUGGGUAGCGAACAGGAUUAGAUACCCUGGUAGUCCACGCCGUAAACGGUGGGUACUAGGUGUGGGUUCCUUUUCACGGGAUCCGUGCCGUAGCUAACGCAUUAAGUACCCCGCCUGGGGAGUACGGCCGCAAGGCUAAAACUCAAAGGAAUUGACGGGGGCCCGCACAAGCGGCGGAGCAUGUGGAUUAAUUCGAUGCAACGCGAAGAACCUUACCUGGGUGUGACAUACACCAGAAAGCCAUAGAGAUAUGGCCCCCCUUGUGGUUGGUGUACAGGUGGUGCAUGGCUGUCGUCAGCUCGUGUCGUGAGAUGUUGGGUUAAGUCCCGCAACGAGCGCAACCCUUGUCCUGUGUUGCCAGCACGUAAUGGUGGGGACUCGCAGGAGACUGCCGGGGUCAACUCGGAGGAAGGUGGGGAUGACGUCAAGUCAUCAUGCCCCUUAUGUCCAGGGCUUCACACAUGCUACAAUGGCCGGUACAGAGGGCUGCGAUACCGUGAGGUGGAGCGAAUCCCUUAAAGCCGGUCUCAGUUCGGAUCGGGGUCUGCAACUCGACCCCGUGAAGUCGGAGUCGCUAGUAAUCGCAGAUCAGCAACGCUGCGGUGAAUACGUUCCCGGGCCUUGUACACACCGCGCGUCACGUCAUGAAAGUUGGUAACACCCGAAGCCGGUGGCCCAACCCCUUGUGGGAGGGAGCCGUCGAAGGUGGGAUUGGCGAUUGGGACGAAGUCGUAACAAGGUAACCGUA
rnacentral:rRNA from 1 species